rnacentral:rRNA from 1 species
GGAUUAGAUACCCUGGUAGUCCACACUGUAAACGCUGUCUACUAGCUGUUUGUGUGAUUUAUCACGUGGGUAGCGCAGCUAACGCGAUAAGUAGACCGCCUGGGGAGUACGGCCGCAAGGUUAAAACUCAAAUGAAUUGACGGGGGCCCGCACAAGCGGUGGAGCAUGUGGUUUAAUUCGAUGCAACGCGAAGAACCUUACCAUCCCUUGACAUACUGAGAACUUAGCAGAGAUGCUUUGGUGCCUUCGGGAACUCAGAUACAGGUGCUGCAUGGCUGUCGUCAGCUCGUGCCG